rnacentral:lncRNA from 1 species
CUCAUUCCUCAGCCAGUCUACAAUUGUAAAAAUUCUCCUGGAAUUAUAGAACACCGGCACGAAGACCCUUAUAGGUAAUGCAAAGCUGCCAGAAAAUGCCACUCCUUCCAUGAAGACUUGACUCGCUAAGAGGAAGACAUGUGGUGCGGCUGCUUUGAUCCCCUCUGUAUCACCCUCAAAGAUUCCUUCAACGAUAUAAGCUAUGGGGAGAUACAGGCCAAUUAUAGCAGCAACAAACACGUAGAGUCGUAAAGUUUUGUUUUUUGGAUCAAAAACUAACGAUUCCUUUGAUGGGUUGACACAGGGGAAUGCAACUUUGGAAAGGAAGUACAUGUAGAUGAAGGAGAACACAACGAAAGCGAAGUCUUCAGGACUUACCAUGCCAGUUGCGGAGAGGACGGUGAUAACAGCGACGGCAAUUAGGUGGUUGAAGCUCAAGAAAACAGCUUUCUU